GGGAAACCGGAGGAAGACGCGCGCAUCAGGAAAUAGCCCCAGAGACAGCAAGUUCCAGCAAGUUCCGAGAGACCCCGCCGCACUCCCCGGCCUCUCAGGGCUCCUGUUUCAGAAGAACCACAUUCCUUGGUGCUGCGGUGGGAGAAGCCACUUGGAAAGUGUGAGAAGGUCGUUCCCCUUCAUCUACUCCGCAGUUCCCGCUGUGAAUUUCUGGUUCCGGGAGGGAGGGCAGAUCGAGGCCCACAUUUUUACGGCUGUCCAGUUGGUCCACUUUUACCCCAGCUUCUCAUCUCCUCCCCAUCUCUCAGAACCUCCUUGCAAGUCCUGCGCGCGAUCCUCACCUGCUCCGGGCUUGAAGUAGUACGGUUCUGGAGACGUUCUGGAAGGUUCCCAAGCCCGGCCCCUGGGAGCCGCCUAGACGCGGGCUUCCGUUCUCCCUCGGCCCUGCACGCGCAGCGCAGCCUUCGCGCGCUCGCUCCGCGGGCACCAGCAGUUCCCUUCUGUGGCCCCGAUGCGCGACCAAAAGCCCCUUCUCCCCCGCCACCUUCCCUUCUCAGGGUUUUGCCGGGUCCUGUCUCACCCUCCGCACCCCAGCUUUAGGAUCCGUUUAGCGCGUUCUGCAGGUCUGGGGUUACCUGUGUUUGGCAACAAGCCGUAAUUAAGGGAGCCUCUGUCACACCAAGAACUCUCCCCUUCCCGUGCCAACACCCCCUUGCCCUUUGGGCGAACACAUUUCCAGGCCUACGUGCGUUCUUUUAUUCAGUCAACAAACUUUGUGGGAGCGACAGGUGGAGCCGCCACCGAGCCCAGAGGCGACACUCGAGGCCGACGCCGGUGUCUUCCUUCCCUGGGCCCCAGACCAGCACGGUCACGAGCACCGCUGUCUGAGGGUCACAACCUGGCCCAAGCCGGCCCCCACUCUCCUACUUUUUUAUACUUUUUACCUAAUGAAACCGUAUCGAAGGACGAAUUUUCAAGAAAACCGUCUAUUCGGUGGGAGAGUGAAUUAAACGUUGAUCUCCAGUGGAACGUGGCGCUAGGGGUCCGCGCGCACAGGUGGGGCCUUCCGUGGGGCCCGCGGGGUGACCCGCCCGGCACCCCAGCCCCCGUGGUGAGGACGAGCCCUCGCUGCAGGCGGCGCGGCGGGUCUGCGCAGGGGCGUCCGGGCGCCUCCGGGGCCCCCGCUGCUGUCAGGGUCACUGCGCGGGUCUGUUGGGAACCCCUGCGUGGCGCGCAAGGCACAGCGCUUCGGAGUUGUGGGGUCGCCUUCGACCUUCGGGCUCGUCUUCUUGAAGCCGGGCUGACUCGAGGCUUCCUGAGCCGCCGGCGGGCCUGGGAGGUGAGGAGAGGCUGGGCGAGGGCUGGAGAAACCGGACAGUUUGUCUUGAAGAACUGGACCUUCAGGGUCUUGUGGUUACUGGCAACAUCUUUCUGAAAUGCCAGUCACAGGCCUUCAUGGGAUUGUGUUGCUGACUUCAGGAAUGUUUGGACUGGGCUGGAGUGGCCAAAACAUGACAUGUUCUGAAAGUUCUGGUGGCUGGGAAUUCCAAGAUCAAGGUGGAUUCAAUGUCUGGUGAGUGUUCUCUUGCUGGUUCAUAGACCAUCCUCUUCUCGCCGCUUCAUAGGGCGGAGGGAGCUCUCGGGGGUCUCCUAUAAGAACACUAAUCCCGUGCAUGACGGCUCGGCCCUCAUGAGCUCCCCAAAGCCCCGCUUCCUCAUGCCAUUUCGUUGGGGGUUAGGUUCCAACAAAUGACCCUCCUGACCUUAUGAUGCAGAGUGGCAGGAAGUGCCCAGGUUUUACUCCCUGGCACGGGGAAAGGGCGGAGGCGGGCCUGAGGGACAAGAGGGCAGUUCUUUGGGACAACUGGUGUAUAAUCGGUUGGACCAUCUGUGAAGUUCAAGGCCAUGCGACUCUUACUGUUUAUUGAGCUUUGCCCUUGUUUGCCAACAAUGGUACAGGGAUUCAACUUCCUCUGAUCUUCCUGAGCCCCCUCCCCCACCAUCUCCCCUGGGUUCCACCUGUGGCAUUUCCUGUUACUGA